rnacentral:lncRNA from 10 species
UGGAGAGCUGGACAUGUGGAGGCCGACAGGAAGGUGAAGAAGUCAUCUGCGUGCUGUGAGGGUGGCGCACCCCAACUCCAUGGGGACAGAAGGUCCUGCAUUUAGGACCCUUCCAGACCUCACACCUAUGUAUCUCUUCAUCUGGCUGAUUACUUAUAUCCUUUCAAAGACGCUUCUUAGUAAACUGGCAUUACUUCUAAGUGGUGGACAUGCUGUCCUAGUGCCUCCCUCACAUGGCCAGCGGAGAAGGGCCUUGCCCUACCUCUCAGACUGCAGCCCUGAGCCACUCCUUGGAGGUGAGGAGCACCAUUCACCUGAGCAGCUCCCCGCCCUGGUGUCUGAGAAAUAAAUCUGCCUUCAGUCAUACGGUUCUACCAAUCUGAG